rnacentral:rRNA from 1 species
CGGCAGGCCUAACACGUGCAAGUCGUAACAAGGUAACCAAAGAGUUUGAUCCUGGCUCAGUAAGUCGUAACAAGGUAACCAUAGAGUUUGAUCCUGGCUCAGUAAGUCGUAACAAGGUAACCAUAGAGUUUGAUCCUGGCUCAGAUUGAACGCUGGCGGCAUGGCUAAAACAUGCAAGUCGAAGGAGAAGCCAGCUUCGGCCCGAGGACACCGGCGAAAGGGCGAGUAAUGCUAUUCGAACGUACCCCGAGGUGGAGGAUAGCUGGGGGAAACUCGCAGGUAAUACUCCAUAAGCUCUAACGGAGGAAAGCUCCGGCGCCUUGGGAGCGGCGAAUACUCCUAUCAGGUAGUUGGUGAGGUAAAGGCUCUACCAAGCCAAAGACGGGUAGCGGGUGUGAGAGCAUGACCCGCAGCAUCGGGACUGAGACACUGCCCGGACUCCUACGGGAGGCUGCAGUAACGAAUAUUCCGCAAUGCGCGAAAGCGUGACGGAGCAAUGCCGCGUGUGGGAUGAAGCGGUUACGCCGCGUAAACCACUGUCAGGGUCCUAGGAAGAACUGACCAGGACCCAGAGGAAGGGCCGGCUAAUCUCGUGCCAGCAGCCGCGGUAAGACGAGAGGCCCAAGCGUUAAUCAGAAUCACUGGGCUUAAAGGGUGCGUAGGCGGACUUGUAAGUGUCCUCGUGAAAUCCCACGGCUCAACCGGGGAACUGCGGGGCAAACCACAAGUCUUGAGGCAGGUAGAGGUCGUCGGAACGUUCGGUGGAGCGGUGAAAUGCGUAGAUAUCGAACGGAACGCCGAAGGAGAAGACAGACAACUGGGCCUGUACCUGACGCUCAGGCACGAAAGCGUGGGGAUCAAACAGGAUUAGAUACCCUGGUAGUCCACGCCGUAAACGAUGUGCACUAGACCGAUGCGGGUCUGACCCCGUGACGGUCGGAGAGAAAUUAUUAAGUGCACCGCCUGGGGAGUACGGUCGCAAGACUAAAACUCAAAGGAAUUGACGGGGGCUCACACAAGCGGUGGAGCAUGUUGCUUAAUUCGAAGCAACGCGAAGAACCUUACCAGGGCUUGACAUGCACGGAUUAGCUCAUGGAAACAAGAGUAACGCCCUUUAGGUGGAACAUGCACAGGUGCUGCACGGCUGUCGUCAGCUCGUGCUGUGAAGCGUCGGGUUAAGUCCCUUAACGAGCGCAACCCCUGUCGCUAGUUGCCAGCGCGUAAUGGCGGGGACUCUAGCGAGACUGCCGGUGUCAAACCGGAGGAAGGUGGGGAUGACGUCAAGUCAGCAUGGCCCUUACGCCCAGGGAUGGCAAACGUGCUACAAUGGCGCUGUACAAAGCGAUGCGAGGUACCGCGAGACGGAGCAAAUCGCAAAAAGCAGCGCCCCAGUUCGGAUAGUAGUCUGCAACUCGACUACAUGAAGCCGGAAUCGCUAGUAAUCGCGGAUCAGCCAUGCCGCGGUGAAUACGUUCCUGAGCCUUGUACACACCGCCCGUCAAGUCAUGGAAGCCGGGAGCGCCCGAAGUCGCCACGAUUCAGUGGUGCC